UACGUAGGGUGCAGGCGUUAAUCGGAAUUACUGGGCGUAAAGCGUGCGCAGGCGGUCUUUUAAGUCAGAUGUGAAAGCCCCGGGCUUAACCUGGGAACGGCGUUUGAAACUGAGAGGCUAGAGUGUGGCAGAGGGGGGUGGAAUUCCACGUGUAGCAGUGAAAUGCGUAGAGAUGUGGAGGAACACCGAUGGCGAAGGCAGCCCCUGGGCUAACACUGACGCUCAGGCACGAAAGCGU
rnacentral:rRNA from 1 species